rnacentral:ncRNA from 1 species
UAACCCUACUUGUGAAAGUAGACUGACCGUACAGAAGUCAGCAGACGCCAUAGUACGCCAGAUGUUGCAACAUCUGGCGGAAGGGC